UAUAACGCGAAGAACCUUACCGCCCGCCGCGCCCCGCGCCCGUCCCGCCGCCCCCGCCCGUCACACCAUGGGAGUGGGAUCAAAAG
rnacentral:rRNA from 1 species